GACGAACGCUGGCGGCGUGCUUAACACAUGCAAGUCGAACGAAGUGGCGAACGGGUGAGUAACGCGUAAUCAACCUGCCCUUCAGAGGGGGACAACAGUUGGAAACGACUGCUAAUACCGCAUAUUGGAGAAGGGGACGGCGUCUGAUUAGCUAGUUGGGGGGGUAAAGGCCACCCAAGGCGAUGAUCAGUAGCCGGUCUUGUAGGUGUAACUGCCACAUUGGGACUGAGACACGGCCCAGACUCCUACGGGAGGCAGCAGUGGGGAAUCUUCCGCAAUGGACGAAAGUCUGACGGAGCAACGCCGCGUGAGUGAUUACGGCCUUCGGGUUGUAAAGCUCUUUUAAUCGGGACGCGGUACCGGAAUAGAAAGCCACGGCUAACUACGUGCCAGCAGCCGCGGUAAUAC
rnacentral:rRNA from 1 species